UUCCUUGAACCGCAUGGUUCAAGGAUGAAAGACGGUUUCGGCUGUCACUUACAGAUGGACCCGCGGCGCAUUAGCUAGUUGGUGGGGUAAUGGCUCACCAAGGCGACGAUGCGUAGCCGACCUGAGAGGGUGAUCGGCCACACUGGGACUGAGACACGGCCCAGACUCCUACGGGAGGCAGCAGUAGGGAAUCUUCCGCAAUGGACGAAAGUCUGACGGAGCAACGCCGCGUGAGUGAUGAAGGUUUUCGGAUCGUAAAGCUCUGUUGUUAGGGAAGAACAAGUGCGAGAGUAACUGCUCGCACCUUGACGGUACCCUAACCAGAAAGCCACGGCUAACUACGUGCCAGCAGCCGCGGUAAUACGUAGGUGGCAAGCGUUGUCCGGAAUUAUUGGGCGUAAAGGGCUCGCAGGCGGUUUCUUAAGUCUGAUGUGAAAGCCCCCGGCUCAACCGGGGAGGGUCAUUGGAAACUGGGAAACUUGAGUGCAGAAGAGGAGAGUGGAAUUCCACGUGUAGCGGUGAAAUGCGUAGAGAUGUGGAGGAACACCAGUGGCGAAGGGCGACUCUCUGGUCUGUAACUGACGCU
rnacentral:rRNA from 1 species